GAUGAAGAACGCAGCGAAAUGCGAUACGUAAUAUGAAUUGCAGAUAUUCGUGAAUCAUCGAAUCUUUGAACGCACAUUGCGCCCUUUGGUAUUCCAAAGGGCAUGCCUGUUUGAGCGUCAUUUCUCCCUCAAACCCCCGGGUUUGGUGUUGAGCAAUACGCUAGGUUUGUUUGAAAGAAUUUACGUGGAAACUUAUUUUAAGCGACUUAGGUUUAUCCAAAACGCUUAUUUUGCUAGUGGCCACCACAAUUUAUUUCAUAACUUUGACCUCAAAUCAGGUAGGACUACCCGCUGAACUUAAGCAUAUCAAUAGCGGAGGA
rnacentral:misc_RNA from 1 species